CCUUAAGGUGGCACAUUCCUCUAGUCCCAGCUAUUUGGGAGGCUGAGGUAGGAGAAUGGCUUGAGCCCAGGAGUUAUGGGCUGUAGUGCACUAUGCUGACUGGGUUUCAGCACUAAGUUCAGCAUUAAUACAGUGACCUCCCAGGAGCACAGGACCACCUGUGCCUAAGGAAGGGCGAAAUGGCCUAGAUCUGAAAUGGAGCAAGUCAAAACUCUUUGUGCUGAUCAGUUGUGGAAUCAUGCCUGUGAAUAGCCACUGCAUUCUAGCCUGGGCAACAUAGUAAGACGGUGUCUCU
rnacentral:SRP_RNA from 1 species